ACGCUGGCGGCGUGCUUAACACAUGCAAGUCGAACGAUGAAGCCUAGCUUGCUAGGUGGAUUAGUGGCGAACGGGUGAGUAAUACGUGAGUAACCUACCUUUAACUCUGGGAUAAGCCUGGGAAACUGGGUCUAAUACCGGAUACGACCAAUCUCCGCAUGGGGUGUUGGUGGAAAGCGUUAUGUAGUGGUUAUAGAUGGGCUCACGGCCUAUCAGCUUGUUGGUGAGGUAACGGCUCACCAAGGCGACGACGGGUAGCCGGCCUGAGAGGGUGACCGGCCACACUGGGACUGAGACACGGCCCAGACUCCUACGGGAGGCAGCAGUGGGGAAUAUUGCACAAUGGGCGCAAGCCUGAUGCAGCGACGCCGCGUGAGGGAUGACGGCCUUCGGGUUGUAAACCUCUGUUAGCAGGGAAGAAGAGAAAUUGACGGUACCUGCAGAGAAAGCGCCGGCUAACUACGUGCCAGCAGCCGCGGUAAUACGUAGGGCGCGAGCGUUGUCCGGAAUUAUUGGGCGUAAAGAGCUUGUAGGCGGUUUGUCGCGUCUGCUGUGAAAGGCCGGGGCUUAACCCCGUGUAUUGCAGUGGGUACGGGCAGACUAGAGUGCAGUAGGGGAGACUGGAACUCCUGGUGUAGCGGUGGAAUGCGCAGAUAUCAGGAAGAACACCGAUGGCGAAGGCAGGUCUCUGGGCUGUAACUGACGCUGAGAAGCGAAAGCAUGGGGGGCGAACAGGAUUAGAUACCCUGGUAGUCCAUGCCGUAAACGUUGGGCACUAGGUGUGGGGGACAUUCCACGUUUUCCGCGCCGUAGCUAACGCAUUAAGUGCCCCGCCUGGGGAGUACGGCCGCAAGGCUAAAACUCAAAGAAAUUGACGGGGGCCCGCACAAGCGGCGGAGCAUGCGGAUUAAUUCGAUGCAACGCG
rnacentral:rRNA from 1 species